rnacentral:rRNA from 1 species
GGUUAAGUUAGAAAGGGCGCACGGUGGAUGCCUUGACACUAGGAGUCGAUGAAGGACGGGACUAACGCCGAUAUGCUUCGGGGAGCUGUAAGUAAGCUUUGAUCCGAAGAUUUCCGAAUGGGGAAACCCACCAUACGUAAUGGUAUGGUAUCCUUAUCUGAAUACAUAGGGUAAGGAAGACAGACCCAGGGAACUGAAACAUCUAAGUACCUGGAGGAAGAGAAAGCAAAUGCGAUUUCCUGAGUAGCGGCGAGCGAAACGGAACAUAGCCCAAACCAAGAGGCUUGCCUCUUGGGGUUGUAGGACAUUCUAUACGGAGUUACAAAGGAACGAGGUAGACGAAGCGACCUGGAAAGGUCCGUCGUAGAGGGUAACAACCCCGUAGUCGAAACUUCGUUCUCUCUUGAAUGUAUCCUGAGUACGGCGGAACACGUGAAAUUCCGUCGGAAUCUGGGAGGACCAUCUCCCAAGGCUAAAUACUCCCUAGUGAUCGAUAGUGAACCAGUACCGUGAGGGAAAGGUGAAAAGCACCCCGGAAGGGGAGUGAAAGAGAUCCUGAAACCGUGUGCCUACAAAUAGUCAGAGCCCGUUAACGGGUGAUGGCGUGCCUUUUGUAGAAUGAACCGGCGAGUUACGAUCCCGUGCGAGGUUAAGCUGAAGAGGCGGAGCCGCAGCGAAAGCGAGUCUGAAUAGGGCGUUUAGUACGUGGUCGUAGACCCGAAACCAGGUGAUCUACCCAUGUCCAGGGUGAAGUUCAGGUAACACUGAAUGGAGGCCCGAACCCACGCACGUUGAAAAGUGCGGGGAUGAGGUGUGGGUAGCGGAGAAAUUCCAAUCGAACCUGGAGAUAGCUGGUUCUCCCCGAAAUAGCUUUAGGGCUAGCCUUAAGUGUAAGAGUCUUGGAGGUAGAGCACUGAUUGGACUAGGGGUCCUCAUCGGAUUACCGAAUUCAGUCAAACUCCGAAUGCCAAUGACUUAUCCUUAGGAGUCAGACUGCGAGUGAUAAGAUCCGUAGUCAAAAGGGAAACAGCCCAGACCGCCAGCUAAGGUCCCAAAGUGUGUAUUAAGUGGAAAAGGAUGUGGAGUUGCUUAGACAACUAGGAUGUUGGCUUAGAAGCAGCCACCAUUUAAAGAGUGCGUAAUAGCUCACUAGUCGAGUGACUCUGCGCCGAAAAUGUACCGGGGCUAAAUACACCACCGAAGCUGCGGAUUGAUACCGAAUGGUAUCAGUGGUAGGGGAGCGUUCUAAGGACAGUGAAGUCAGACCG